GCACACACACCGGACCUGCCAGAGCAGCAUUCUAGGGAAAAAACUUGGAGACAGCAACAGCAGCAGGUGUGUGGGAUUCUGGUUGUCCACACAUUCUUGAGCAGACCCAGAGUCUAGCCAAGCCAGACUUCCAGCUUUGGAAACGAGACUCCCUCCGGUCAUGGGGGCUCUUGAGCAGCACAAUUAACAAAAGCAGCCAUCCGUUGCCUGGCCUGAGGAGGGCGGAAUGUGAUAGCAGUAUGGUGUGGAGGAACCUGGGCUCCAGCCUUUCUCUACCAGCAAGAGAGUGCACCUGUGGCGAGGGAGCGUGCCAGCCCCAACCUUGGUUACACAAGGCAAAAAGAGGAGUUUAGACCAGAGGGCGUAGAGCCUACCUAUGAGACUCUGUAAACUGGUGGAGAGACAUUACGGGUUCUGAGCAGGGACCACCGGAAUCACUUCUGUGUGUUACAGAGUUUCACUUCUUUGCAUUAAAGUGUUUUUUUCCCUUACAUUGUACACUUUCAGAGAGCUGUGUGAGUUUAAUUUGUCACACUUAACUUUCAGUACUGCAUAUGUGUAUUACAUUCUUUUGACAAGGGUGAUAUUAAACCUAAGUAAAGUAUCUGUACUAUCAUCAUCAUUCAGAACAGAUAAAAAAGAUCAAGGAGUGUAGGAAAGUUUGCAACAACUGAACAUAUAGAACAGAUAAAAAAAGGUCCAUAUAAACAAAAUGGAUGGUGUAAUGGUUAACUGAGCACAAUUGCUCUGCAUAACAGAGCCCACACUUCUCAGUCAUACAACAAUAAGCUUUCACUUAGUUAAUGUGGUUGUGGGUUGGCAGAGAUUGGCUCACUCAGGCUGAGCUCAGCUGGGGUAACUCAGCUCUGCUUCAUGAGUUGCUCAUCUUCCUCACGGGCCCAGCAGACUAUUCCAGAUGUAUUAUCCCAUAGUCAGGCAGAGGUGAAAGAGAACAGGUAGAAGCACCAAAAAGCUUGGUAAGCCUGCUAACACUGCAAAAGUCACAGUAAAUCAU
rnacentral:lncRNA from 1 species